UGUCCCUGGUCGAGGGUGUGGAGGGAGGCUGGUGGAGGAGGAGGGUCUCAGAGCACCAACUUGUCGGGACGGAAGCCAAAGGGUGCUCUGCCGUCUAGGUGAUGGGAUGGUUCCCAGGUUGGGUUUGUUGCUUUAGGCUCUGUCAGCUGCUCUCUGCUGCCCCCUGUUGGUGUGUAGAGGGAAGAGUAGGACUGUGGCUGAGAUGGAGAGAGGGAGAGAUUAGCAGGUCAGAAGCUCAUCCUCUGUUUCCCAGGACCCCAGUAUGGACCACUGGUGUGGCUAAGAACCUGACGAGAAGCCAUGAGAGGAGUCUACUCUUUGGGAGAGGCCAUCAGGAACAUAUGCAUCCUAUUCACCUUCUCAACAGUUCCUCAAUACCAAGAGCCCAGAUACAGAGGGCAAGUAAAGAAUGAUUCGCGAGGCACCGGGCUAGAUGCUGAGAUGACCACGAGAAUAAGAUACGAUCCCCGCCGUAUGAAGCUCAUACUCCAGCCAGGGAGACCCAACAGCUCACAAAUUCUCAUGUUGCAACACAAGGAGGUGCCAUGGUAGAGAUACUGAGGAAAAUGCUUCAGGAGCAUAAAGGACGGUCGCAUCUCUUUCAAAUGGGUUUUAGUGGACUCCUCUGGCAUAUAAUUCUAUAAUAAAUAUUUCUCGUGUGUCCCA
rnacentral:lncRNA from 1 species